UGCAAGUCGAGCGGAACGAGAAUAGCUUGCUAUUCGGCGUCGAGCGGCGGACGGGUGAGUAAUGCUUGGGAAUAUGCCUAAUGGUGGGGGACAACAGUUGGAAACGACUGCUAAUACCGCAUAAUGUCUACGGACCAAAGGAGGGGAUUCUUCGGAACCUUUCGCCAUUUGAUUAGCCCAAGUGAGAUUAGCUAGUUGGUAAGGUAAAGGCUUACCAAGGCGACGAUCUCUAGCUGGUUUGAGAGGAUGAUCAGCCACACUGGGACUGAGACAUGGCCCAGACUCCUACGGGAGGCAGCAGUGGGGAAUAUUGCACAAUGGGCGAAAGCCUGAUGCAGCCAUGCCGCGUGUGUGAAGAAGGCCUUCGGGUUGUAAAGCACUUUCAGCGAGGAGGAAAGGGUGUAGACUAAUACUCUGCAUCUGUGACGUUACUCGUAGAAGAAGCACCGGCUAACUCCGUGCCAGCAGCCGCGGUAAUACGGAGGGUGCAAGCGUUAAUCGGAAUUACUGGGCGUAAAGCGUGCGUAGGCGGUUGCCUCAGUCAGAUGUGAAAGCCCCGGGCUUAACCUGGGAACGGCAUUUGAUACUGGGUAACUAGAGUAUGGUAGAGGUGAGUGCAAUUUCAAGUGUAGCGGUGAAAUGCGUAGAGAUCUGAACGGAACGUCAGUGGCGAAGGCGGACUCACUGGGACAAUUACUGACACUGAGGUGCGAAAGCGUGGGUAGCAAUCAGGAUGAGAUACCCUGGUAGUCCACGCCCUAAACGAUGUCACUACGGUGUAUGGCAGCUUUAUGCUCUGUGUAUCGGAAGCUAGCGCGACAAGUUGGACGGCUUGGGUGAUGCAAGUCGAUGCAAGUCGA
rnacentral:rRNA from 1 species